rnacentral:lncRNA from 1 species
GGCAACCUACUCGGGUUCCCUUCCAUGGUGUGGAAGCUUAGUUCUUUUGCUAUUCACAGUAAAUCUUGCUGUUCCUCGCUCUUUGGGUCCGCACUACCUUUCUGAGCUGUAACACUCACUGCGAAGGUCUGAGGCUUCACUCCUGAAGUUAGCAAGACCGCAAACCCACCAGGAGGAACAAACGAUUCUGGACGUGCCACCUUUAAGAGCUGUAACACUCACUGCCAAGGUCUGCGGCUUCACUCCUGAAGUCAAGUGAGACCACGAACCCACCGGAAGGAAGAAACUCCAGACACAUCUGAACAUCUGAAGGAAAAAACUCUGGACAAACCAUCUUUAAGAACUGUAACACUCACUGCGAAGGUCUGAGGCUUCACUCCUGAAGUCAGCAAGACCACGAACCCACCAGGAGCAACAAAUGACUCUGGACGCACCACCUUUUAAGAGCUGUAACACUCACUGCCAAGGUCCCUGGCUUCAUUCUUGAAGUCAGUGAGACCAAGAACCCACUGGAAGGAACUAAUUCUAGACAUGCUAGUUCCCAGAUCCUGUUUCUCUGGAGAGGCCUAACUAAUACAUAGACAAAGCCAAAUGACUUUUUCCCCUCUCUGAACUUUGAUAUUCUUUAAACAUUUCCAGCUAGUUCUUUUAAUAUUUCUUGAGGAUUUCCUGGGAUUUUUUUUUUGGUAAAUACUGUAUUUCACCAGCUACUCCUUCAAGAACAUAGUCGUCAUAUGCUUUAUUAUCCAUGAAGAUUAUUAGUGAACCCACAGUUCGUUUGUCAAAAUGACUCUAAAUUCGUGAUAUUCAGAUGAUCACACUCCAUAAUACUGCCACCAGAGCCAAGUUAUUGGAGUUACUACUUUUUAUGAUCAGCACAAUUAUUUUUCUAUGAAAGAAUUGUUGGUAUUAAAAGGGCCACAGUAGACUAUUUGCUAUUGAAUGAUUGUUGGUUAGUACUUAAUUAAAACAAAAAUGUUUUUUAUA